UACGUAGGGUGCAAGCGUUGUUCGGAAUUACUGGGCGUAAAGGGCGCGUAGGCGGGCCCGUAUGUCGAUUGUGAAAGCCCAGGGCUCAACCUUGGAAUUGCAGUCGAAACUGCGGGUCUUGAAUGCCUGAGGGGAUGGCGGAAUUACCGGUGUAGAAGUGAAAUUCGUAGAUAUCGGUAAGAACGCCUGAGGCGAAGGCGGCUAUCUGGCGGUGCAUUGACGCUGAGGCGCGAAAGCGUGGGGAGCAAAUAGG
rnacentral:rRNA from 1 species